GAUGAAGAACGUAGCGAAAUGCGAUAAGUAAUGUGAAUUGCAGAAUUCAGUGAAUCAUCGAAUCUUUGAACGCACAUUGCGCCCGUCAGUAUUCUGGCGGGCAUGCCUGUUCGAGCGUCAUUACGCCCCUCAAGUCCCCUGUGGACUUGGUGUUGGGGAUCGGCGAGUCUGGUUUUCCAGCACAGCCGUCCCUUAAAUUAAUUGGCGGUCUCGCCGUGGCCCUCCUCUGCGCAGUAGUAAAACACUCGCAACAGGAGCCCGGCGCGGUCCACUGCCGUAAAACCCCCCAACUUUUUAUAGUUGACCUCGAAUCAGGUAGGACUACCCGCUGAACUUAAGCAUAUCAAUAAGCGGAGGA
rnacentral:misc_RNA from 1 species